rnacentral:rRNA from 1 species
CAGCCCCUCGAGUGGUGGGGAUGAUUAUUUGGCCUAAAGCGUCCGUAGCCGGCCGUAUAAGUCUCCCGUUAAAUCCAGCGUCUCAAGCGUUGGACUGCGGGAGAUACUGUACGGCUAGAGAGUGGGAGAGGUCAGCGGUAUUCUGGGGGUAGGGGCGAAAUCCUUUGAUCCCCGGAGGACCACCAGUGGCGAAGGCUGCUGACUAGAACACGUCUGACGGUCAGGGACGAAAGCUGGGGUAGCGAACCGGAUUAGAUACCCGAGUAGUCC